rnacentral:lncRNA from 1 species
UCAUUUCUCUUGGUCGGCCAAAGGAAGAAAAGGGAAGAAAAGAAGAAGAACAAAACCCUAGCUAAGAAAUUCAAGAGAAAUUCACCAAAUUUCAAGGAAUCAAGCCAUCAAAGGUGAAAUUUCUUAAUUCUAGCUUGUGAUCUNGAUCUAUCUUUCCUAUGCAUUCUUUUGCAUUUUCCAUGGUUGAAUCACAAGAUAUCAUGAAGGAUUCAUGGCUGACCGAAUUUAGAGAGAGAAGAUUUGAUGAUUUAUUUGGUUAGAUUUUGAGAUAUUUUAGUGUUUUUAGUUGAUUUAUCAUGUUUGGAAGGAAAACAAGUAAGAAAAAUCACAUAUUCUUCAUGGAUUCCUCAUUGGUCGAAUUUCAUAAAGAAAAUAUUGAAGAUGAAUCUUGUGAUGUCUUAUGUUAUUUAGUUAGAAUUUAAUGAAUUGUGGUGGUGGAAAUCGAAAAUGGUAAUGUUUAGCAUGAAAAGUCAUAUACCCCUCAAGAACCUCCAUGGCCAAAUUUUUCCAAGAGAAAAUGUGAGGAAGAUUUUACCAAAUUUCAAGUUAUUUAAUUUGUGUUUGAUGGUUUGGAGUAUUGACAGAGAAAUGGAAUUAUUUGGAGUUGAAUUAGACGUAUUAGCCAAUUAAUCAGGUGAUAGAUCGAAUUAGGCCAAUACUGUUUUAUUUAGGUACACAAUUGAACUUAUAUUGAACGUCGUAUUUAGAUGGUUACUCGAGCAUUUCACAUCCCAUUUCAUGCAUUAGUAUAAAGCCUAAAUUAGUUUUAUAACAGUUUAGCACAAAUGUAGUAAAUGGCUUAUUGUGUAUUAUGUCUAGGUGGUGAACUUUCUGGCAAAAGUAAAGAGAUAGUACUCGAGGAUCAAGAAUCGGAGUACUUGGAACUCGAUUUUCAUUAUAGUGAGUAACCUUAUUAUCAUCUUAAUUAUCUAAAGUAUGUUUUUAUCCGAUUUUAUAAUUUUAUGGAAAAUAUGUUUAAAUGAAAUGAAAUUAUAAAUUGUUCUAAAAUUGAAUGAUGGUUUUGAAAAUGGAGUAAUUGGAGACUACUUGCUGUAUUGUAAAUUAUGUUUUGAAUUGAAUGGUUUAUGAUAAUGUGGGCAUGAAUGGCCGAAUGGGUAUUUGUGUUGAAAAUGUAUAAACUGUUAUUUGCCUUGAUAGGCUGGAUAAUGAUAAAAUUGCCAUGUCAUGCUGUUGAAUUUUAUUGAAUUGGUGGGUUAUAGAUUGGUCACUGCAGUGGCGGGUUCUGUGGACCAACCUUUUUGAGGGGCACGAAAUCCGGGUAUAUUCUUACCUCGGUUGAGGAGGCAUGUAGGGUAACUCCUGAGGUAAAACUUUAGAGUUCACUUCAUGCCAAACCACCACGUGAGGGUGAACUCAGCUAACGCCAACGGCUAUGUUUUCAAAAUAAAAACAUGAUUUAUGCGUACAUGACUUUUUAACAGCCUUGGCGGAUUCGGUUGGGAUAGCCCCAGGCCAAAGUAUCCCUGACAACCGAGUAUGAGAAUGAUUUUGGCACGAGCCAAGCUUUUCAGAAAAUCAUAAGCCUCGUUGUUUAUUUGGGUGAAAUGAAUCUAUUUGAUCUUAUUAAAAUGAGUUCGAAAUGCUGUGAAUCAUUUUUAUGCUAAUCUAUUUUAUCUGUCUCUAUUUACAUAGCUUUAGAUAUUUUAGAUGAUAUUUGUUUACUCACUAGGAUUAUAUAAUCUCAUCACCCUCAUUUCUACCCAUUUCAGGCUCAAGAUAGUCGGUAGAUAGCUCAUUUCAUUAAGGGUUACAGUUAGACUUGCAUCCUCAAAAACUGUAGGUUCACAGCCUUUAUUACUUUUAGUCAUUCGGGGGCUCACAUGUCAUUGUUAAAUGUUUUGAAUACCUGGCUGCGCGUGCUACUGUAUGUAGGAAAUUAUUUUACUUUUACGCUGUAAAAAAUUAUUUAUGUAGCGUUCGAUAAAAAUGGUUUUAUGAAAAAUUAGAAUAUUUUAUUC